ACAAAUUACAAUAUUUAUGGUUUUAAAUUUUCAUAAACAAGAUGGAAUAUGUUUUUGGUUGCCCAUAAAGACUAGGUAUUGAAAAGUCUUUAAAGUCUACUUUAUAUAAUAAUUUUAGUUUAAAUUUAUGAUGAAUGAUGACUAUUAAAAUUAAAUCUUCCCCUGAUUAUCAACAAUAUAUUUUAGAAUGUUGGACUGUAUAUAAAGAUAAAUAUGAUGACAAUUCAAUAACUUAUAUUUUGAUUAAUGUCUUGCGUAUAUGCAAUACAAGAUAAUACUAUUAUUUACAAUAGCUUAAGGAUUUUAGUUCUUCAUUCCUCGCAUUCCUGUAAAAAUAAUUAAUUAUUAAAAUAUAAGAUAUGAUAAGGUAACAAUAUUAUCAUACAUAUUGCAUACAGUACUUAAAGUCAUGUGAAUAUUAAUUAUUAGUUAUCUAAAUAAUUGGUACUCAUUUAAUAUGAUAAAAAAUAAUAGUCUAAUAUGAUACCUAUCUUGGAAUAUGUACUUACACUAAUAUGCAACCUGUAUAAUAUUAUGCCCACUAUUCUACCUAAAUAUUAUACUAUAUUACAAAUAAUAAUACUCAUAAUUUUUUUGUAGAAAAAUAUAUAUCCAGUCAGUUUGAAACAACUUUUAUAUCGUUUAAUAACAAAUCAGAUAUAUUAGUAAGAUUGUACAUCAACACCAUACUUCUUUUAAGUGUAUUUCUAAAAUGUUAGUAGCAUCUCUUAUUUAUUCUGUAUUUAACCUUUACAUGACACCUUAACAUUUCAAUGGGUUUUAUUUAGGCCUUAGUGUUGAAAUGUACAAAACUUUCUGAUUGGUUUACAGUAUGAUUCUCAAAAUUGUUGUUGUCCAGUGUAUUAUAAUAUGCUCUCAAUUAGUCAGUAUAAAAUGUACCCUUUACACCUACUGAAUUUUCACUUUUCAUCUAUAUUUUUAUUCCACAGUAAAAAUUUACCACUUUUCAUUUUAAAGUCCAUGUUCUAUUCCACAAAACAAAUUUUAUUAAUAUUUUCAAAUAUGUCCAUAAGAAUUUUGUAAUACAUAUAAGAAUAAAUUGACUGUGCUAUUUAUUUGUGACGAUCAACUACUUUCUUAUUAGUAGAGACUGGAUUUUUAUGUACUUACAUAUUUUAACUAAGAGUAUGCAGUUUCAAUAGGAUUAGCUUUCUCAAAAAUUGAUUUUCCUAUGAAUUUAUGUGCAAAAUUUGUUAGUGCAUAAAAAGUAUAAUUAUUUGCAUGAGCUCUAAUUUCAUGUGUUUUAGAUUAUCAAAAAUGUAAGAAUUUAAUUUUAAAAAAAAUUGGUAUUUAUUUGAUUCGAACCACUAAUAAGAAUAAAGCAAUAUCCGCGAAUCAUCAACUCCUAACUACUUUAAAUUAGUUUAAUAAUGGUGCUCAGCAAUACAUGAUAGAUGCUAUCAUAGCAUAUCUACAUCUUCUGUCAAUAGAUGCAUUUAAAGAGUAGUUAAUAACUUAAUGUUGUAACGCAUGUGUUUAGUGUAACUAUAAAAUGUUCAGUCAAUACUACAUCAUUGUAAAAUAUAUUUUUUUAGUAAAAUGAGGGGGGGUUACCUUCGGUGGCUGGAUGUAUCAAUGGGACUCUAAUAAUAACACAUUUAAUGAGCACGAAGAAACAAAAAUUAUUUAAUAAAUUUAACAAUAAUGUGUGGGCAAAACCAUAUAUAGUGCACCAAGUUAAGACGAUUACCAGUUUGGGGUGAUUAAUCAGUUUUAUUGUAUUUUAACUGAUCUAUAUAAUUAUGCAGUUAAUUCAAACUAGUCAGAAAGUAUCCAUGAUUCAAAAGUUUUAAGAAAUACAGAUAAUAUAUUUUAUAGAUUUGAGAGAGCAUAAACUAUAGACAGAAAUCAAGAAGUGUAUGAAAAUUCAAAGGAGAUUAAAGAAGUUAUUGAUUAGUCCAGGGCUCUGAAGUUAUAGAACUAAAAGUGUAUGUUUUAUCACUUUAAUAUACACCUAAAAACACCAAAAUAAGUGAGAAAAAUUGAAUAUGGUAGUAGGUAUUUAGGAUCUAUUGGUCAGCUCUGGAACGUAAAUAUGAUGCAUCCGAUCAGCGGCAGAUUGACUAAACAAUUCGGGCCGGGAAAUUUCUGUGUAACAAGCUCACCCAAUAUAUUAUAAUAAUCAUAUUUUUCUUAUUUAUUAUUUAAUAUAUUACACGUAUAACAUACAAGUGCAUAACUUUUUUAUUUUUAACAUUUACAGACAUUUCUCAUAGUUAAUAACCAUAUUUGUUAAGCAUCUAAAAAAAAUCAAUUUAAAAUCAUAAUGAAAAAAAUAUCAGCUUUUUUACUAAGUGCAACUAAAAUGUCAUGCAUGUACAGUACACAUAUAAUAAUAUUUAUCAUUAAAUAAAAACAAAUGUUAAAACAAAUUGUAUAAAAAUUUUGACUGUUUAAAAUAAAAUAUGAAGCUAAAACGAUUAGCUUGCAAAUUAAUUAUGAAUGCUUUACUAGACAUUAUUUUAAUUAAUUAAAUAAUUGAAUUAGUAUAUACUAUAUUUCCUCUGUUAAUUAAUUACUAUUUUUAUCUAUAUCAUCAAUUAUCUCACCUAUAUCUAAGCUACUAAGGAAAUUUUUCUUUACUACCAUAAGCAUAAAUGUGUCAAGCUUUAAUUCACUUGUAGUACUUUUAAGUUGUAUUUUAAUAUUUUUAAGAACUGAAAAAGACUGCAUGAAACCUAAAAUAAAAUCUCUAUAAUCUUUUUAAUCUUAGUAUUUUUUAACUCCUGUAUAAAUUAAAAGCUGAUACUUGCGUUAAUGGAAAGGUAAGAAGAUACUAGUAAGCCAAAGUUAAUUUGCUAUAUGCAUCAUAGUAGUAUAUACUUUUUAAAUCCAUUAAAGCAACAAACAGCAUACGUUGUGCAUGAUUAUAAUUAGGGCUCGGAUUUUAAAGCAAAUGCUUCUUUUUAUAUAUUUAAGAUAAAAAUCUAAUUUUUAUACAUAAUUCGUUUCACGUUAAUCUGAUUUGAAAUAAACAAAUUUAUUUUUGCUUUUUUUAAUAUAAAUGCUUUUUUAUUGCUUUCUUCAGUUAUUCUAGCUGUGUAAUUUUUAUUUGUUUGUUACGCUAUAGUAAUUAAAAAAAUGUUCAUAUAAUUUAUAAGAAAUGUCAAAACCCGUAAUAAAUUAUUAUAUAAAAGUGUUUAUUUACUUAAUAAGAAAUGUGAAAACCCGCAAUAAUGACCGUGACCGUACCAUUAGUGCGAAACGUCAUUAAAUGUAAUGAUUGAAAUGUAUAGAUUAUCGAUCUACAGAUAGCUUAUGGGUCGAUAGCUUAUCGACUAUUGCAUAUAGUUUGUAGAUUUUAGUUUUUAUUCAGUUUUAUAAAAUUAUAACCUAAUUCGUGUUAAUUUUUAGUCGUGUUUUUUUU